CCUACGGGGGGCUGCAGUGGGGAAUAUUGCACAAUGGGCGCAAGCCUGAUGCAGCCAUGCCGCGUGUGUAAAGAAGGCCAUCGGGUUGUAAAGCACUUUCAGCGGGGAGGAAGGCGUUAAGGUUAAUAACCUUGUCGAUUGACGUUACCCGCAGAAGAAGCACCGGCUAACUCCGUGCCAGCAGCCGCGGUAAUACGGAGGGUGCAAGCGUUAAUCGGAAUUACUGGGCGUAAAGCGCACGCAGGCGGUCUGUCAAGUCGGAUGUGAAAUCCCCGGGCUCAACCUGGGAACUGCAUUCGAAACCGGCAGGCUAGAGUCGUGUAGAGGGGGGGAGAAUUCCAGGUGUAGCGGUGAAAUGCGUAGAGAUCUGGAGGAAUACCGGUGGCGAAGGCGGCCCCCUGGACAAAGACUGACGCUCAGGUGCGAAAGCGUGGGGAGCAAACAGGAUUAGAUACCCUUGUAGUC
rnacentral:rRNA from 1 species